AUGCGUAAAGAACUUCAGAAAUCUCGAGGGGGAGAGAGAGCCACGGACGAGACGAAGAAACGCGAUUGGUAGGAAGGAUAAGAGAGGGCAUUUCAAUGGCGUCUAGGGUUUCGUUGAAGGUGAAAGGGAAGGGGACGAGAGGAUCCAUGGAGGAAGACGACAACAACGCGGUUUUGCAAAGAGCCAAGGAGUGGACCAAUUGGACGCUGAAGAAGGUCAAAGUCGUCGCUCACUUUGGCUUCAUCCCUCUCAUCAUCGUCGUCGGCAUGAACGCCGAUCCCAAACCCUCCCUCUUCCAGCUCCUCAGCCCCGUCUGAUCCCCCAUCUCCGUCGGAUUCAGGAUCCAUCGUCUUCUUCAAGAAAUCAGAUUUCGAAGAUUCUCGCAAUUUUAAAUCGAAAGAGAUCUAUCAGUAGCAAAUUCAGAAGAGUCGGUCAUUCCAUCCGAUUCGAGCUCCGGUGGGUGUGGAACUCUCGGUUGCUCUGUCGGGUUCGAGACCAACUCCUCGUCUGACGUUCUCGACGAGUCUGAUCGGAUCUGCAAAAUCUCCACCAUCUUUACGAGGUCGAAGGAAUAACAGAGAGUUCCAGUUUCCCGGUCCAUUCUUCCCCAGGUUUCAAGGUGAUGGGUUUCUCAAUGGCUGCACCAUCAACACACAGCAUGCGCUUGUACUCUUCAUCUCCCAAAUCCCCCAACGUUUUCGACUUCUU